rnacentral:rRNA from 1 species
UGCAGUCGAACGAUGAUGCCCAGCUUGCUGGGUGGAUUAGUGGCGAACGGGUGAGUAACACGUGAGUAACCUGCCCCUGACUCUGGGAUAAGCGUUGGAAACGACGUCUAAUACUGGAUAUGACCGCCGAUCGCAUGGUCUGGUGGUGGAAAGAUUUUUUGGUUGGGGAUGGACUCGCGGCCUAUCAGCUUGUUGGUGAGGUAAUGGCUCACCAAGGCGACGACGGGUAGCCGGCCUGAGAGGGUGACCGGCCACACUGGGACUGAGACACGGCCCAGACUCCUACGGGAGGCAGCAGUGGGGAAUAUUGCACAAUGGGCGAAAGCCUGAUGCAGCAACGCCGCGUGAGGGAUGACGGCCUUCGGGUUGUAAACCUCUUUUAGUAGGGAAGAAGCGAAGUGACGGUACCUGCAGAAAAAGCACCGGCUAACUACGUGCCAGCAGCCGCGGUAAUACGUAGGGUGCAAGCGUUGUCCGGAAUUAUUGGGCGUAAAGAGCUCGUAGGCGGUUUGUCGCGUCUGCUGUGAAAUCCCGAGGCUCAACCUCGGGCUUGCAGUGGGUACGGGCAGACUAGAGUGCGGUAGGGGAGAUUGGAAUUCCUGGUGUAGCGGUGGAAUGCGCAGAUAUCAGGAGGAACACCGAUGGCGAAGGCAGAUCUCUGGGCCGUAACUGACGCUGAGGAGCGAAAGCGUGGGGAGCGAACAGGAUUAGAUACCCUGGUAGUCCACGCCGUAAACGUUGGGCGCUAGAUGUAGGGACCUUUCCACGGUUUCUGUGUCGUAGCUAACGCAUUAAGCGCCCCGCCUGGGGAGUACGGCCGCAAGGCUAAAACUCAAAGGAAUUGACGGGGGCCCGCACAAGCGGCGGAGCAUGCGGAUUAAUUCGAUGCAACGCGAAGAACCUUACCAAGGCUUGACAUACACCGGAAACGGCCAGAGAUGGUUGCCCCCUUGUGGUCGGUGUACAGGUGGUGCAUGGUUGUCGUCAGCUCGUGUCGUGAGAUGUUGGGUUAAGUCCCGCAACGAGCGCAACCCUCGUUCUAUGUUGCCAGCGCGUUAUGGCGGGGACUCAUAGGAGACUGCCGGGGUCAACUCGGAGGAAGGUGGGGAUGACGUCAAAUCAUCAUGCCCCUUAUGUCUUGGGCUUCACGCAUGCUACAAUGGCCGGUACAAAGGGCUGCGAUACCGUAAGGUGGAGCGAAUCCCAAAAAGCCGGUCUCAGUUCGGAUUGAGGUCUGCAACUCGACCUCAUGAAGUCGGAGUCGCUAGUAAUCGCAGAUCAGCAACGCUGCGGUGAAUACGUUCCCGGGCCUUGUACACACCGCCCGUCAAGUCAUGAAAGUCGGUAACACCCGAAGCCGGUGGCCUAACCC